rnacentral:rRNA from 1 species
GACGAACGCUGGCGGCGUGCUUAACACAUGCAAGUCGAACGGAAAGGCCCUGCUUUUGUGGGGUGCUCGAGUGGCGAACGGGUGAGUAACACGUGAGUAACCUGCCCUUGACUUUGGGAUAACUUCAGGAAACUGGGGCUAAUACCGGAUAGGAGCUCCUGCUGCAUGGUGGGGGUUGGAAAGUUUCGGCGGUUGGGGAUGGACUCGCGGCUUAUCAGCUUGUUGGUGGGGUAGUGGCUUACCAAGGCUUUGACGGGUAGCCGGCCUGAGAGGGUGACCGGCCACAUUGGGACUGAGAUACGGCCCAGACUCGUACGGGAGGCAGCAGUGGGGAAUAGUGCACAAUGGGCGGAAGCAGGAUGCAGCAACGCCGCGUGCGGGAUGACGGCCUUCGGGUUGUAAACCGCUUUCGCCUGUGACGAAGAGUGAGUGACGGUAAUGGGUAAAGAAGCACCGGCUAACUACGUG